rnacentral:rRNA from 1 species
UGCCAGCAGCCGCGGUAAUACGAAGGGUGCUAGCGUUGUUCGGAAUUACUGGGCGUAAAGAGCAUGUAGGCGGAUGAAUUAGUCAGAGGUGAAAGCCCCGAGCUCAACUUGGGAACUGCCUUUGAUACUGUUUAUCUAGAGUCCGAGAGAGGUUAGUGGAAUUCCCAGUGUAGAGGUGAAAUUCGUAGAUAUUAGGAGGAACACCGGAGGCGAAGGCGGCUAUCUGGGCUAUUACUGACACUAAGACGCGAAAGCGUGGGUAGCAAACAGGAUUAGAUA